UUUUGAAUUCAGCACAAACUAUAGGCUACUGUAGUCGCGUGCUUGUACAAUUCAACUUUCACCUAAUUUCAUCUCUUCUAGCUCGUCGACUGCUUGACAACUACAAUAAGGAAGCACAUAAAUACAGUUUAAACAUAUUUGUUUCCUCCAUCAUGGAUAAAGCAAUGCAAUGCAAUAGCUAAGGUAGCCGAUUAAACUCAACUCCAGUAUUUACGAUGGAGUUGAGCGGUGACUAGUGUUUUUAUAUAAAACUCCUGAUUUCAGCACUCAAAGAAUUGGCUGCAAUUACACAAGUCAACGCUCAACUCAAAUCGUAAAUCGUGGAGUUGAGUUUAGUCUGCUAUUACUAAGGGAGCUUGUAAUGCUGCGGUGUCUUGUUAGCAGGUGCCUUUUGACCAAUCCCGUCGCAGGUCAGACAAGAAAGAUGUCAGGAGGCAGUCUUGCUGGGUCUCAAAGCAGUCUUGCAGGGAAGGUUGCCAUAGUCACUGCCUCCACAGAUGGAAUCGGUUUGGCUGCAGCCCAGGCUCUGGGUCAGAGAGGGGCUCACGUUGUGGUGAGUAGCAGACGCCAGUCAAACGUCGACAAGGCCGUGGCACUACUGCAGAGUGAGAAGAUACAAGUGACCGGGACGACUUGCAACGUUGGGAAUAGUGAAGACAGAGCUAGACUUGUUAACAUGACCGUGGAACAGUGUGGUGGUGUGGACAUCUUCGUUUCGAACGCAGCAGUCAACCCUUUCUUUGGGAACAUUAUGGACUCGACAGAAGCAGUCUGGGAUAAGAUCCUGGAUGUGAAUGUAAAGUCGGCCUUUCUUAUGACCCAACUGGUGGUGCCUCACUUGGAGAAGAGGGGGGGUGGGAGUGUUGUGUUUGUGUCCUCUGUCGCUGGGUACCAGCCUAUGCAGGCACUGGGCCCUUACAGCGUGAGUAAGACGGCCCUGUUGGGACUAACCAGAGCCCUGGCCCCUGAACUGGCCCAGAGCCACAUCCGGGUCAACUGUGUGGCCCCUGGCAUCAUUAAGACCACCUUCAGCCAAGCAAGAAGGGAGUUUUGACGAUUCUGUGUUCUCAGUUGUGGCAGGACGAGUUCAAGAAGCAGCUUAGCAUUAAAAGGUUUGGCAAGCCAGAGGAGAUCGGUGGAGUAAUCGCCUUCCUGUGCUCUAAGGAUGCGUCUUACAUCACUGGAGAGACAAUCACUGUGACUGGAGGGAUGAGCUGCAGACUGUGAGGCUGAUUGACUGACUGGAAAAUGUUAAUAGAAUCUGGCAACGCCGACUGUAACACUCAAAGGAAACAAUGCUUUUGUAAUAUAAUAAUGGACUGUAAGACAGGAAGAUUCACUAUACAUUUCAGUCAUUUCUUUCUCUCAAAAUCAAAUGACUUGAGGACACGAAGCCAGGAAGUGGACAGUCGCCACCACUGAUAUUCUUUCUGGGUAUGUUUUCCAGUGGGCGCUAUACAGUGCAGUCAGGUUAACAAAUAAACUGCAGUUUUUUUACUACGCUUUUAAAGAUCCGUCACAGAACAUUGUAAGCAUUUGAGCUCACAAGCAGGGUCCAAACUCAGGCCAGUUUAUACCUACAUUGCCUUAAUAAAAAAGGACUACAUUGCUAUUCA